UACAGAGGGUGCAAGCGUUGUUCGGAAUUAUGGGGCGUAAAGCGCGUGUAGGCGGCUUUGCAAGUCGGGUGUGAAAGCCCUCAGCUCAACUGAGGAAGUGCGCCCGAAACUGCAUGGCUCGAGUACCGGAGAGGAUGGUGGAAUUCCCGAAGUAGAGGUGAAAUUCGUAGAUAUCGGGAGGAACACCGGUGGCGAAGGCGACCAUCUGGACGGAUACUGACGCUGAGACGCGAAAGCGUGGGUAGCAAACAGG
rnacentral:rRNA from 1 species